ACUAACUAGGAUGUCCCUAGUAGCUGCGAGCGAACAGGACACAUAGCCCAGCACUGAAUCCCGCGUCCGACUCUCGGGCGUCGGGAGAUGUGGUGUUUGGGAGAGUUCAUCAACCGGAGACCGGCGGACAAGCCCAAGUCCUUCUUGAACGGGGCCACUUACCCACAGAGGGUGCCAGGCCCGUAAAGGCUGUGGACGGUCGUCGGCGAGCUUCUCCUUAGAGUCGGGUUGCUUUAGAGUGCAGCCCUAAGUAGGUGGUAAACUCCAUCUAAGGCUAAAUAUGACCACGAGACCGAUAGCGAACAAGUACCGUGAGGGAAAGUUGAAAAGGACUUUGAAGAGAGAGUUCAAUAGUACGUGAAACCGUUCAGGGGUAAACCUGCGAAACCCGAAAAGUUCGAACGGGGAUAUUCAACGCGUCCGGUCCGGCGGACGAGCCGGGGCGGCUCUCGACGGGCGACCUCUCGAGGUCGUCCGCGGACGUCUCGGCCGUUCGUCGCCGGCGCGUGCACUUAUCCCCUUGUAGGACGUCGCGAUCCGUCGGGUGUCGGUCUACGGUCGGCGGUGGAGCCCGCGCGCGCCUCGGCGCGCGCGAACCCGUCGAUUUUCCGGCCGACUCGCUCGACGGCAUCACUCGAGGCGCGGAGCCGCGACCCGUUCGCAUCCGACUGUCCGCAAGCGCGACCGGUCUCCCGGCUGUCGGAUCUGAUGCCGGCACCGGGCCCGGACGGCUGCUGGCGGGCACGUUCUCGGAUAGACUCCGACUCACGCCUAUCGGCGACGCUAUAGCUUUGGGUAAUCUCAGGACCCGUCUUGAAACACGGACCAAGGAGUCUAGCAUGUGCGCGAGUCAUUGGGACUUGUAAACCUACUGGCGAAAUGAAAGUGAAGGCCGCCUUGCGCGCGCCUAGGGAAGAUGGGCCGCACCGCGGUGCGGCCCCGCACUCCUGGGGCGUCUCGUGCCCAUCGCGGGCUGAGGCGCACCGAGAGCGCAAAUGCUGGGACCCGAAAGAUGGUGAACUAUGCCUGGUCAGAACGAAGUCAGGGGAAACCCUGAUGGAGGUUCGUAGCGAUUCUGACGUGCAAAUCGAUCGUCGGAACUGGGUAUAGGGGCGAAAGACUAAUCGAACCAUCUAGUAGCUGGUUCCCUCCGAAGUUUCCCUCAGGAUAGCUGGCGCUCGAUGUACGAGUCUCAUUCGGUAAAGCGAAUGAUUAGAGGCAUUGGGGUCGAAACGACCUCAACCUAUUCUCAAACUUUAAAUGGGUGAGAUCUCCGGCUUGCUUAGAUGUGAAGCCGCGAGAAUCUUAAAUCGGAUCAUGA
rnacentral:rRNA from 1 species